rnacentral:lncRNA from 1 species
AUCAGAUAUCUACUCUGUCUUACACCACAUUUCAACUUCUGUGAACAUCACACACUAUGGUCUGCAAGAGGACAAUAAGAACUUGAAGCUCAGUUUUGCCAAAGUGGAGGCUGAACGGAAGCAGGCACAAGACAGGAGCAAUAAUCUUGAGAAGACGCAGCCAUGGCUGGACAGACAGAGCGCUGGAGGGCUUUGUGGCUACUGCUGUUUGUGUGUCUCGCGCUCCAGUCUGUGGAGUUUGGUAAGACACCAUGACACUGCUCUUUCCUCCUAUUACACAAUACUUUACCACUUCUCUCUGUGGGUCAUGUAUUAUUAUUAUCCUUAAAGUACAUACUAUGCACUAUAUAAGUGUAUGUUCCAAGAAACAAAAUGGCUCCUGCUGGGACUGACUCAUUU